UCUCCGUAGGUGAACCUGCGGAGGGAUCAUUACAGAGUUCAUGCCCUACCGGGUCGAUCUCCCACCCUAUGUUAUUAUUACUUUGUUGCUUUGGCGGGCCGUUAGGCUCCGGCCCGACUACCGGCCCCGGCUGGUAAGCGCCAGACAGAGGACCCAAAACCCUGAAUAUUAGUGUCGUCUGAGUACUAUAUAAUAGUUAAAACUUUCAACAACGGAUCUCUUGGUUCUG
rnacentral:misc_RNA from 1 species